CUGAAAGAACGACUACCGACUAAACCCCAUCGAG
rnacentral:sRNA from 1 species